GGGGGUGUAGCUCAGCUGGGAGAGCACUGCCUUGCACGCAAGGGGUCAGGAGUUCGAUCCUCCUCAUCUCCACCA
rnacentral:tRNA from 1 species